rnacentral:lncRNA from 1 species
CUGCACAGGUUCCUUUAUAUGAGGAUUCUUUUCAACCAAACACAAAUGGAAAAUAUAGUAUUCCUGGGAUGUGAAACUCAUGUAUACAGAUGGGCUGACUUUUCAUAUAUGUGGGUUCCACAGGGCCAAUUGCAAGAAUUGAGUAUGCAUGAAUUUUGGUACAUGUGGUAGACCCGAAACCAAUCCCCUACAUAUACCAAGG